rnacentral:rRNA from 1 species
AAAUUGUUGAAAGGGAAGCGUUUGUGACCAGACUUGCGCCGGGCAGCUCAUCAGGGGUUCUCCCCUGUGCACUCUGCCCGGCUCAGGCCAGCAUCGGUUCUCGUGGGAGGAUAAGAACGGUGGGAACGUGGCCCCCCUCCGGGGGGGUGUUAUAGCCUGUUGUACGAUACUCUCGUGGGGACCGAGGUUCGCGCUCCGCAAGGAUGCUGGCGUAAUGGUCAUCAGCGACCCGUCUUGAAACACGGACCAAGGAGUCGUCCAUUAGAGCGAGCGUUUGGGUGUAAAACCCGCACGCGUAAUGAAAGUGAACGCAGGUGAGAGCUUCGGCGCAUCAUCGACCGAUCCUGAUGUCUUCGGAUGGAUUUGAGUAAGAGUUUUAACGGACGGACCCGAAAGACAGUGAACUAUGCUUGUAUAGGGUGAAGCCAGAGGAAACUCUGGUGGAGGCUCGCAGCGGUUCUGACGUGCAAAUCGAU